AGUAUAAAAAGGGCAAAAGCAAUUCAGGCUGCCUCCUUUCACUACUGUCCACUAGGAUUUCAGCAGAUACUCUAUAAGGGCAUGGCUGGGUUUGUUAAGUCCAGAGAAAGAACUUUCAAGAACCAGCAAAGUAAACAUGUCAAAACUACAAAUUCUAAAGAGCUAGCCCAUCUGGGCAGAGCAACAAGAUUACAAUCAAGAAUGAUGCAGAAAAGGGAAACCGUCCUGGUGUGAUGAGCUCCUAAGCCUGAAAAAUGAAGAUUUAUGCUGGAAAGCCUGGCAGACCCUAAAAUGGAGCAUUGCAAGGCAUGGGAAUGUAAUAAUGUAAGCUCAUCCCUAAUAAAACCAACUUAACAGUUA